UUAAGUGCAAUUAGAACAUGUGUCCUUAAUUUUGUACCCUGAUAAAAAACCUAGCUAUGCAUUGCUUUGCUUGCUAUGCAGUAGACAAAGUAAUUUUAUGACUUUGGGAACUGAAGUCCUUGUGCUGUCAUUCACUAAGAAUUAAUUUGCCAAAAAAUUUUGUUUGUUCUUGUAGCAAACAAAAAGAUAUGUCUGAGCUAAGUUGCCCCAGCUGAAUCAUAAACUAUAACUUAACAGGCACAUGCAUCUAUUUCAUGGAAACUUCAGGGGAGAGGAAAAUUAUACCUGACCUGUUCCAGGAUUACAAAAGCUGAUGGUCCUCUUACAUGGCAGAGGUCAGAAUUUACCAAGAUGAGCAUUAACUGCUAUAGAGAACAAAGCACUAAGCUUGUCUUCACAGACUCCAGAAGCUCAUCUGCAGUUUGACUGGGCUGAAUGGAUUAUUCAAAGCAGACAUGUUUGCCACUUGGAAGGGGAUUGUUUUGGUUCUAUUCAUCAGAACAGUACUGAGAUGAGAAUCCCAAUGUGCUCACUGUGGGUGCCUGUAAUGCCUUUAUCCAUAUGCAUUGCUAUUGUCACAUUUUGUCACACGGACCCUUCAUGGCAAGCAUGAAUCAUCUUGCACCCACUAGUUAAGCAUCCCACAAUAAAGUUCCCUAUUGCUCCUGUAUGUUCCUCCAGCUGUGAUAUAAAAGACAGGGUGACAGAUAUACAGGAACAAGUGACUUUUCUCCAUGGUUGGAUGGCAAUUCUUAUGUGAGUAGUUCGAAUUAUCACAAGGUAAAUGGUGCAAGGCAGGGAAAGGCUGGACAGUCUGGAGAGAUCUCCAGAAUCUCCCCUGUUUAUUUUUAAGGAAUAACUGUGCUGUUUGUCUUUGAGGUGUGAUUAGUGGCUUCCUGGAGGGAGUAGGUACAUCCCAGUUCCAAAGGCUAUUGGGCUGCCACGGGCAUGUCUUCAUGCCACCUUCUCAUCUGAAAUGCAUGAGAAAUUCAGACAUAGGCACACGGACUCUUUGCUGUGCUGAGGGCACGGCCCCGCGCUCUCAGCAUCUUCUUUAGCAAGAGGACACUGCAGACUGGUGUGCAUGCUUGGAUCAAGGCCCAGUCUCAGAUGGCAAUUUAGUAUAAAUUAUUUUAACCUUGAUCAGGAGGCAGCAGACAGACUCACGUGGUCACCUCGCUCCUCCAUCCUGCUGGCACACAGCUGCUCUCCGUGCGGAGCCAUCCAGACACACGUCCAAUGUCUGGCUGCACUGCAAACCCUGGGGAGCUCUUACACAGACUUGGAGUGUUGGAUUUUGUCCCAAGGAGUUUCUUUUAAAGUAGGUGAAAGUUAAUGAAGAUUAAAGUGUCAUAUUGGAGUGGGAACUUCCUGCUUCCAUCACAGACACACAGUGACACAGGAUUUUCCAUUCCUGUGUGUUUGAGAAGAUGGGAAAUGGGGUAAGAGACAAGGGUGACCUGAGAGUGAAGCCAGAAAAGGGAUUUAAUAUUCCUGCAGUCUGUCUAGCAAAAUAUCUUAAGACUGAUGUAAAGAGAAU